CAGUAGCCGCGGGAAUACGAAGGGUGCAAGCGUUACUCGGAAUUACUGGGCGUAAAGCGUGCGUAGGUGGUGGUUUAAGUCCGUUGUGAAAGCCCUGGGCUCAACCUGGGAAUUGCAGUGGAUACUGAGUCACUAGAGUGUGGUAGAGGAUAGUGGAAUUUCCGGUGUAGCAGUGAAAUGCGUAGAGAUCGGAAGGAACAUCUGUGGCGAAGGCGACUAUCUGGGCCAACACUGACACUGAGGCACGAAAGCGUGGGGAGCAAACAGGUUUAGAUACCCCUGUAGUCCUGUCUCUUAUACA
rnacentral:rRNA from 1 species